rnacentral:lncRNA from 1 species
UAACAGCAACUGUACAGGCACUUGGUUUCCAACUCAGAGACUAAGAGUAAGGAGGCUCCAGGUAGAAGCUCAAGCCCUCUCACACUGGCUACCUCCACCAUCCUGAACGCAGAGACUCAAGCCAGGAAUAGACAACUCCACCUACUGCAAGAAAAGAAAACAGAGUUCUGAGACUUUUCUUUCUUUCUUUUAUUUUUUUGCUCUUCUCAUCCAAUCUCCUUUACUCUUCAACCUCUGGUCCUCACAACCUCAACAUUUGUGAAACCAAGAACUUUGCAUGAAAUAGGACUUUAACAACUUAAUCACCAGAAUAAUAUAAUAUAGAGGAAUUGCAUAUGCCCCACUUCCCCCCCUUUUUCUUCUUCUUAUUUUCUUUCUCCCACUCACUUUUUUUUCUUUCUGUCCUUGUUAUUUUUUUCUUCCUCCCCCUAUCCCACUUUCAACCUCCUAACUUUUACUAUUUAUAUGUAGGGUGAUUUUCUAAAUACAGAUAGGAGUUUGUAUACAUUCUUCUGUAAAUUACCCCUGUCUAUUCGUUAGAGUUCUCCAAAGUUGCUAAGUUAGAUUAACCCCAUACUGUCACUCCUUUCCCCCUUAAUAUAAUGUCCUAUGCCUGACCCUCGGUUUUCCAUAUGCCACCAGAAAUGGCAUGCCUUUUAUGAAACUAAUGACUAUAUUUUAAAUAAUAAUUGAAGCCAACAUCUGUAGAAAUAGAGUCUAACUAUAAAUGUAUUAAUAAUGAAAACUUGCUCAUAGAUGAUGUCCUAUUGAUAUUGGGAACUGUUAACAUUAUCUACGCUAAGCCUCAGGCCAGCAUCAUUUCUAAAUGGAGAAAAACUGAAGGCAUUCUCUCUAAAAUCUGGAACAAGACAGGGAUGCCCUCUCUCAUCACUUCUGUUCAACAUAGUUAUUGAAACACUGGCCAGAGCAAUUAGACAGACAAAAGAAAUUAAAGGAAUAACUAUAGGAAAAGAAGAAUUUAAACUAGCACUAUUUGCUGAUGAUAUGAUUCUAUACCUAGAAGACCCCAAAAAACGGACACCUAGGUGAUUGCAUAACUUAACUGUUAUAACUUUUGAUGCUAUAAACAUGGGAUGAAUGUAUCAUUAUAGUACACUGUCUUUAAUUUUUUUUUUUUUUUUGGUUUAAC